ensembl:lncRNA
GAAUGGGGGGAGAGAGGCACUUCUUGGAUCACUUUAAAAAUCUUCAAAGACUCAGUCGAUGAGUUACCAUCAGAUUUCAACACACCCUGUCUCAGGGGGAGACUCAAAAAAAUACACGUAGAUCAUGGCUAAAUUAGACUAAGCGUUUCAUGUCUGCACUGGGGGACGUGUGUUGGUCUAUAACAUAUAUGUCACUAAAUCCUUGAAUGUGCUUGCAAUUUGUAUAGAAAUGUAAAAAAAAUAAAACCCAACAAAACCCAACUUAGCCUCCUUUUGUCCCCCCCCCCCCCCCCCCCGCCAAGACAGUUCGGCUAUCCUAGGGUCUCUUGACUUAGAUUUUUAAUUCAUUGUGAUAAUUUUCAAGUCAGUUAAAAAUUUCCCACAUACUAUCGAUUUAUGACUACAAAUCAGAAAAAUCUAAACCCUCUGUCUUAGCACAUUGCAUCUUUAAUAAGACAUUCUUUCCAGAAUGACAUUUCAAGGAUAUCUGGAGGUGACCGAUGGGAUGAUAAUUUUGAGUGAAUUUAGAGUUUUAAUUACUGUUUUAUUUGUAAUUCCAAGUGGGUGCUGUGGAAAAAAAAAAAAAGAGCUAUCAACAAAGGAAAUAAUUGUUCCAAAGAAUUACAUCUGCACUGCAUUCUCUGUCAAAAAUUUCUCAUUAAAAAUGUGUUUCUUUAAAAGUAACUCAAAGCAGCUGAUGAAAUAUAAGAGAAUGGAAAGUUUCAAAUCCCAGAGCAAAUGUGGAUUCAUCAGGGAUCAUUUGCCAGAGACCUGACUCAAUGGCAAAAGACCUUCUCACCAUUUCUCACAUCCCUUCCUGGGUUUCAUACAGAGUGGAUAAAGAACGACUAAGCUACGAACAAAUCUUCCAAAGAGGAGACAAUCCCGUAAACCUUCCCAGGAUCUCUGCGCCACCCGCCGAGGCUGACGCGCGCGAGAUGGCUGUUACCAAGAUUAUUCCCAAACAUCCUCUAGCUUGCUGGAGACCACAAAGAUCAGUCCUGCCUGAAAGGCCACCGGUGUGCAUCUCACAAAAGAAUAAGAUGAUGGAAAAAUAUGGCCAUCUCCUUGAAGUGGGGGCUGCCGAUGGAAGAAAAGCAGUAGAUGGGCAGAAGACAAGGCCAAAACCCAGGUCGGGCUGACGCUGUCUGGAAGACCAAAAGCCAGCUGCCUUAUCGACGAAUUUAAUGAGCACCUAUUAUGUGUGGGGACAUUGCCAAAUGCUGCAGGAAUCCCUUCCGAGGGUAUUUACAGUCUAUUGAGGAGAGAAGGCACGUGUAGACCAAAUGAUUUAAUUAUCAUCUCAGGUGGGUGUUUGGUUGAUCUCUGGAGUCCCUCUUGUUCUUCCCUAGUCAGAGGACACUAUGAUUUUAUUUUUCCCCCCACUUUUAGAACACUUUUUCUACAUAUGUGAUUUGUUUAUCUGUUUCUAGUCUGUCUUCUCAUACCGAGCUGUAAGAGCGAGAAGAGCAGGGGCUGCGUGUGGUUUGGAAUUGCUGUAUCUCCAGAAGCGAACACAGUGCCUGGUGCGUAGAAGGUGCUCAGUAAAUGUUUCUUUAAUGAAUCAAUGAACGAACCAAAGACUGAGAGAUUGGCUGGGAAACUCUCAGGUGUCAGGAGAACACAUUGCAGGCACAGCUAGAAAGAAAGCUGGGUAAAGCGACUUUUUUUUUAAAUGUUUAUUUUAGUUUUGAGAGAGAGGCAGACAGAAGGACCACGAGGCGGGGAGGGGUAGAGAGAGAGGGAGACACAGAAUCUGAAGCAGGCUCCAGGCUCUGAGCUGUCAGCACAGAGCCCGAUGCGGGGCUCGAACCCACGAACCACGAGAUCAUGACCUGAGCCGAAGUCAGAUGCUUGACCGACUGAGCCCCCCGGGUAUCCCGUUUCGGGGUCUUUAUUACUAGUUACAGAUAAUUCUCAGACUCUGAAAAUGUGAUUGCUCAAAUUUCACUUUAAAUAUAGUCGGUACGAGUUGAUAUUUAUAGAAGUUUUACUUCCCUCUAUGCUGCAAAAAGCCUCCUGCCUGUUCGAAUUCUCUAUCUGUGUUCUUUGCCUCCACAAGGGCAAUGAAUGACAGGACCAACAACAAUGGUAACAUGGCUGCUGUUUAGGUAGCUACUUCCUGUAUGGCGGGCACGGGGCUGACUGGUCUAGGUAACUAAUCUAUCCUUCCCCGUAGAUGAGGACGCUGCAGCAUGAGAGGUGUAUUACCUAGAGCGGGGUAACUUAUAUUUUGCCACUGUGGCGUCCAUGUAGUCUGGUGGUCAAGGUUAUCUACUGAACACAGUUAUUUGGGGCUUCAGGCUCCUUUCAUAUAGAAAGCCAGUAGGGCAUCAGAAUCCUCCUUUUGGCCCCUGUGAAUCUGGUGGUAGUUGAUAAGAGAAAGGGGAGGGAAUGUGAGGAUCAGGCAGAAGGGUUUAGAUUCCAAGUCGAGAAGUGGUCUAUUUCCUCCCUGUGCUCAGAUUCCAUCGGCCAGGUGUCGAUUCCAUGACCCCAUCGAAAGGCAAGGGGGCUGGGAUGCAUGGUCUUGGCAAAUGCCCAGGAAAAAGAGGAAAUGGUGUUGGUGAGCAGCUAGUUUCUGUCUCUCAAAGGCUAAGUGACUCAUAAGAUAAUAAAUAUUACAGCUCGGGGACCCA